AUUAAACGCUGGCGGCAUGCCUUACACAUGCAAGUCGAACGGCAGCACGGGGGCGACCCUGGUGGCGAGUGGCGGACGGGUGAGUAAAGCAUCGGAACGUGCCCUGGAAUGGGGGAUAACGUAGCGAAAGUUACGCUAAUACCGCAUAUUCUGUGAGCAGGAAAGCAGGGGAUCGCAAGACCUUGCGUUCUGGGAUCGGCCGAUGUCGGAUUAGCUAGUUGGUGGGGUAAAGGCCUACCAAGGCGACGAUCCGUAGCGGGUCUGAGAGGAUGAUCCGCCACACUGGGACUGAGACACGGCCCAGACUCCUACGGGAGGCAGCAGUGGGGAAUUUUGGACAAUGGGCGCAAGCCUGAUCCAGCCAUGCCGCGUGAGUGAAGAAGGCCU
rnacentral:rRNA from 1 species